AGGGAUGUAGCUCAGUGGUAGAGCAUCUGCUUGCCCGCAGGAGGUCCCAGGUUCAAUCCCCAUCUCCA